rnacentral:misc_RNA from 1 species
AAUUAUCAACCUUGCUUGCUUUUACCGGCUUGAGCUGAGGCUUGGACGUGGGGGUUUUUGCUGGCUUCCUUCAGUGGAUGGUCUGCUCCCCUUAAAUUCAUUAGUGGGAUCUCUUGUGGACCGUCACUUGGUGUGAUAAUUAUCUAUGCCGUUUGACCUUGAAGCAAAUUUAUGGGACCCUGCUUAUAACCGUCUCUUACCGGGACAAUUUAAUAACA